AGUGAACGCUGGCGGCGGGCCUAACACAUGCAAGUCGAACGGAAGCACAGUAAGAGCUCGCUCUUACGGGUGGCGAGUGGCGGACGGGUGAGGAAUACAUCGGCAUCUACUUAUUCGUGGGGGAUAACGUAGGGAAACUUAUGCUACUACAGAAUAUAACCUACGGGAGAAAGCAGGGGAUAUUCGGACUUUGCGCGGUUGUAUGAGCUGAGGUCGGACUAGCUAGUUGGGGGGGUAAAGGACCACCAAGGCGACGAACCGUAGCUGGUCUGAGAGGAUGAUCAGCCACACUGGAACUGAGACACGGUCCAGACUCCUACGGGAGGCAGCAGUGGGGAAUAUUGGACAAUGGGCGCAAGCCUGAUCCAGCCAUACCGCGUGGGUGAAGAAGGCCUUCGGGUUGUAAAGCCCUGUUGUUGGGAAAGAAAAGCAGCAGAUUAAUACCCCGCUGUUCUGACGGUACCCAAAGAAUAAGCACCGGCUAACUUCGUG
rnacentral:rRNA from 1 species